AUACUUCUCUGGCAGGGGAGAUACCUUGAUCACGAAGGUGGUUUUCGCAGGGUGAGGCUUAUCCAUUGCACUCUGGAUGUGCUGACCCCUGUGAUUUCCCCAAAUGCGGGAACCUCUACUGCAUAAUUUGUGGUAGUGGGGGACUGCAUUCACACUCUCA
ensembl:snRNA U1 U1 spliceosomal RNA